rnacentral:lncRNA from 1 species
GAGGCACAAGAUGUGAAAUGGAAUCACUCAGACUCCAGAGCAGAGCCACCAUUUAGCAUCCAGGAUGAAAUUCCAAGAAUGACACUACCAGGACCAUGAAUUCCCCUGGAAUUAGCUGUAAUGGCUGAUUUUUAGAGGAAUGGAGUACUUCCAUGAAUGCAUUCUUAUGAGCUUUGAGCAUAUGAGCAUAUAAGGACAACACAAGUGAUCAGGGCUGUGCCACACAAUGCAUUCUCCCUUCUUGUAAUGAAGUGUAAUGCCGAAAUGCUGGAUUUUGAGGAAAGACUCUUGGAUACUGGGAAUAGG